rnacentral:rRNA from 1 species
GUUGUAUAGUUAAGUGACUAAGCGUACAAGGUGGAUGCCUUGGCAAUCAGAGGCGAUGAAGGACGUGCUAAUCUGCGAAAAGCUUGGAUGAGUCGAUAAGAGGCGUUUAAUCCAAGAUGUCCGAAUGGGGAAACCCAGUAGAUGAAGAAUCUACUAUCACUUACUGAAUCCAUAGGUAAGUGAGGCAAACCGGGAGAACUGAAACAUCUAAGUACCCCGAGGAAAAGAAAUCAACCGAGAUUUCGUUAGUAGCGGCGAGCGAACGCGAAGGAGCCUGUUAGUGAUAAUGACAGAGACAGAGGAACAAGCUGGGAAGCUUGGCGAUACAGGGU